GGGGGAGUACAGGUUUUGACGGGGGGGAUUGGGGUAUAGGUUGCGAGCCGAGGAAGUCAUCUUUACCUCGUAAAAUAUGGUGACAAAAUUUAAACGCAGGUAAUACUGUAGAAGAAUUCUUUGCUAAUGUGAAGAUGCUAGUUGGCGAAUACGCCUCUAGGCUUCCAGUAGCUUCAAGUGUUCUUGCUCCAAGCUUUAGCUAAGGAGCACGCUAGCCGUUUUUUGCCGAUAAAGGCGGGGUCUAGUGUUAUAUUAUCGGAUACUCAAUUAAUCUUUUCUGACGGUUAGUUGAGGAAACAAAGAUCGGGAUUACUUUGAGAAGUCUUUGCUUUGAGACAACCUCGAAGGACAAUUAAAUAGAAGCUACGCUCGUAGUAACUUAUACAGCUUCCUUUUCGGACGGGGGUUCGAUUCCCCUCUCCUCCAGUA
rnacentral:tmRNA from 2 species